rnacentral:lncRNA from 1 species
UUUCUUUGCCUCGUUGAACUUGUAAACAUAUUGGAGAAAGUUUUGGAUGCUCUCAAACCAAUAGGGACUGUAUAUUCAUUUUGAUUCAUUUAUAGGUUGCAUAAAAAAUGAACCAACAUGCCACUCCCAUGUAUGGACAAGAAAAAAAACUAGAUUGACACAUGGUAGCACUACUAGAAAGUCAUUGAUAUUUUUUUAGGCAAGCAACAAAGGUCAAUCGCCAACCUAAAAUAUAUAUUUGAACUUCAAAGAAGGUUUUGUACAAGUACAUCAGAAUCCCUGCAGGACAUAGUGGGGUAGACAAUUACAAACACAAGGACGUGCCCCAUUGACAUUUGCAACAGCUCUAAAAUUUGGGGGAAAAUAUUAAUGUACUAGGAGAUCAUUUUAUUUCAAUGUAAGAGAGAGGAUCAACUAAGUAUGAUGUGGUCCCACCUUGCAGUUGCAUGUUCCACAACUAACGUUGGAAAACCAUUAAUAAAUCCAUUCUCCACGUAUUCCUAGCUACUUGAUUUAUCUUCGUUGUGUUGGAUAAGAAUUACCCCUUUUUGAGGACUGGGUAAGAAUUAACUCCUCUUCAAGUAACAUGAAUACUCCCUCCGUCCGGUAAAGAGUGUGCAUCUAGAAAUUUUAUGACAAAUUAUGGAGUUGAGUAAAAAAUGCAUUGAAAAGGUGUAAGCCACCAUCUCUCUCCUCUUUAACUAUCCAACCCCCAAUGAGCUAAGUGCAUGUAGAAAUUAAGAAGACCAUGUGUAGAUUGCUAUUGGUCUUGAUUACCGUAUGAUGAGAGAGAAGUAUUUUUUUCUACUUUAAAGUACAUUGAAGAGAUAGAAGUACACUCUUUUGUGGACAAAUUUUGAAGCUAGAUGUACACUCUUCACCGGACGAAGGGAGUAUGCUCCAAUAUUCUAGUACUACAUGUAAUAAAGAGUAUUUGUUAAUAAAUUAUUAAAUUUGAUGUUGUUUUUAUGUUUUUCUUAUGAUACUACUAAUGACAAAUCUAGGGAGGGUUCUCGAAACAACCCNNNNNNNNNNNNNNNNNNNNNNNNNNNNNNNNNNNNNNNNNNNNNNNNNNNNNNNNNNNNNNNNNNNNNNNNNNNNNNNNNNNNNNNNNNNNNNNNNNNNNNNNNNNNNNNNNNNNNNNNNNNNNNNNNNNNNNNNNNNNNNNNNNNNNNNNNNNNNNNNNNNNNNNNNNNNNNNNNNNNNNNNNNNNNNNNNNNNNNNNNCCAAUUGGUACAUUUUCUCAUAGAAAAAAUUGUCAAAUGUCAUUCCCUAUUACCCACUCUAUUAUGAGAUUGGGAUUCAUUAGGGCUUCCUCCAAUCUCUUAACUGAUCACUGCAUAAAUUUUCAUUGCUUUAUUGGGAGGGCCGGGACACUUUUUUGCUUUUGGAGAUUGGGGCCUGGACACUUAAUCACAUAUCCAACACAUGCAUCCACUGCAGAAAGAUAGCUAAGCUAGAUACUCCCUCUAGUUCACAAAAGAUGGCGUUUUGGAGACUCAUAAGGUCUCUAAAAAUGUAACUUUGACCGUUCUUUUCUACUUAUCAUAUAUGUAUAAUAAUAAAAUUAUCAGAAAAAUACCUGUUAACACAAAUUUGUGCAUAUGAUUUUUCAAGUUUGCCAAGGGUGUUGAGAAGAGGACAGACCCCCUACCCCUACACUCAGUUUUGAAGAGACACUAAUUUGUUAGUUAUGUUUCUACAUUAAAUAUACUUAUGAAUAAUUCGUCCACUUGAAACCCAAUAACAGUGCACGAUUUCCCUCUCUUUCCCCUUCUAUGGCCAAAUGCUGCCCCACCACUGCCCUAGUCGCCUUUCUUUAUCCAUAUCAAUCAAUUAAACAUGUGCAUAGCCCUGCUGAAGUCGGGUUUCGGGCCGAGCUUCGUAAUUCUAUCCCAAAAAUGUCAAGCUCGGGGCCAAUCUAGCCUACCCCAAAUCCAAGAUAAAUACAUUUUCUGCAUUUAAAAUAUUAAUAAAAAAACUUUUUUAAUAUAGAAGUUAAGGAUUAUAUCAAUUUUACAAAGCACUCUGCUCCUGGGCUUUUAGGCUUCGGGGCCAGUCUGGCUGGCCUGGGCAUGCCCGGGUUUACGUCAACUUGUUCGUUAGUCCCUCCAUUUCAUAUUACUUCACAUAUUAGUUUUAUCUUAAAUCAAACUUUGUGAAUUUUGACCGAAUUAAUAGAAAAAAUAUCAAUAUGAACCCUAUUAGUAUAUUGUUUUGUCAUGGUUGAUGUUAUGUUAUCACCUAUCCCAUCCCAUGAUGUAGGUAGUAGUUAAUUAGACUUCAAACCAUUGCAUGGGUUCAUGAUAAUUGACAUGUUACUUUGUCGCGUUCAACCCGCAAACAGACAAGAGAAGUUUUAAGGCGCUUACACACUGGAGUAGUAGCAUGGACCGUUCAUAUUGAUUCAUUUCUAGACCCCGUCAAAAUUGAAAGAAGAAGCAGCCCUCCUGUUACGAUCUGGUCCCGGUUAGCAUUGAACCUUGGAAAGGCUUGAGGCUCAUUAACCAACCACCAAUUCUCGCCCAUCGUACCAAUGCAUACGGUAAGAAGUUCUCUGUAAAUUUGUACUGUACUCCUGCGUGAUAUAUCCUUCCCAUGUUCAUCAGUACGUACUUGUUGACCUACUACUUGACGAUCCACUCAGGAUUGUGGCAAUAUAAUGCACUGACGUGUCCACCUACUUCCAUGGAUGGAUGAUUGAGCAAACUUCUCCCAUCAGGAAGCAUGUGUCUUUGAUUCGUGCUGUUUGCCAAGGACAAGCUAGCUUCUGCAUUAUACAUUUAUACUUGUGUUGGUGAAAAUUCAUAAAUAACCUGUCUUGGUGAAUCUUUGGAGUAUUUUCCUGAUGUUCAGUUGUACUUGUUGACCUACUGAACGGCUCACUAGUGUUGUAGUAUUAGUCCUUGUAUUAUUAUUUAGCUGACCAAACACCUCCCAUCAAACUGUUCUGUGCUUCGCACUGUUUGUCAAGGACAGGAUGGAAAUUAAUAAAUACCCUGUGUUCGUGAAUCUUGAAACUGCUCCUACUCUAUUUUUUCCCCUCUAAUAUUCAGUACUACUACCUUCAUUCUAAAAUAUUAAGAUGUUUUGAUAGGCUACUUUAGCCUAACAAAAUGUCAUAUAGUAUUUUAGAACGGAGGUAGUACUUGUUGACCUACUGGAGCUGCACAAUUCGCUCUGAGAGAGUGAGCUUCAUCUGUACUCUCUAUUAGGAUUUCACCCACAGGAUCAACCACAACAAAAUCGACUAACACGAGCAUAAAGAAUUGAUAGCCAGGGCCUUUGUCGCGCUCUCUAUUUGUUUCUCUUUAUUUCUUUUCAACUUCCGGUGGCGCAAACCCGCAGCCCUAUACCUGUGUAGAAAUAUACACGUCCGGCCAGAGCAACACAAGCAAACAUGGCUCCAACUCCAACUCUACUGGGACGCUCGCGUAGACAACUAGGAGACUGGCUCAAAACUCACGCAUACAUGCAGCAUGUAGUACUGACACACGUGCAAGCACAACACGCACAUACGUGCAGACCAAUCUAACUAGACUAUUAUUCUAACAGUCUCCUUCUAAUCUUAGCUUAUCAUCUCUUUGUUGAUGAUUCGCCCCUUAUCAACUCAUAUGUUCACACCACGAUAAAUUAAAUUGCUGGUUAGAUUGUUUGCAAUUAACUCUUCCCUAUUUUAACUUGCAGAAACCAUCUCAAAUAUGACUUGACUACCCAGCCUCGUUAGAACUUGUGGAAUACACCAUUCACCCUAGCAAGAUACAUAGCCGGCUCUUUGUGGAUCAUAUCACCUUGUGGAUUACACCAUCCCCUUCAGCCUCAUGUAGUGACAUGGCCCCGUUGAAGAGACUCACAUUCACUAGUUUACUGUCCUCACAUAGUUGAACUUGAUCCUUUCAUCGAGAUACAUACCGACUUGGGCACGCUUCAUCAUCUUCAACGUAUCCUUAGAGAGACAUUAUUUGUACAUGACGACUACUCAUAGACGACAACCGAGACGUGCUAACUCGCAUGACUCCUUGGCUCCUUCACUCAUCUAACUCCCGCGGACGAUGCUCUUGACGACUUUCUGGCACCGCGCCUCGACACCACUGCUCCUGUCAACAAUCUAUUUCCACCAUCUUACCAAUGACUGCUCACUGCCUUCCUCCUUGCCGCUCCGCUGAACAACGAUCGCCUGAUCCCCCUCAUCGUUGCACCACCCAGCGACUAUAUCGCCCGCCUGAGGCGCUAGUAAAGGGUCGCCUCCCCGGGCAAGUGCAGCCUCAAAUCUUGAAUGUUACUCUAAUACCAAUCAUUAGUGUCCUAGGCCUAGCUCCCAACCUCCGGCCUACGUUCGAGCAUUUUCGGUGUGCAUUGGACACACCAUGAUAAGCACAGAGCCCACCACAUUCCAAAAGCCUAGGCUAAAUAGGGAGUGACACUCUUUGUUAUAAGCUGGUCCUAGCCUCCAGUAAUCAAGGUGGGGCUAAAGUCACUAGUAACGCCCAACGGCUAGUGGCCUAACAUCCCAUCCUCUGGGAAGCCCCCCGGUUGGGCAUGGCGCCCCUAACUCUGAUAGCAGUUGUUAGGAUUUCACCCUCAAGAUCAAUUACAUCAAAACUGAUAAAGACGCACGCACAAAGAACUUGUAGCCAAGUGCCUUUGUCUCUUUUCAACUUCUGGUGGUACAAACUCGCGGCCUUAUGCCCCUAUGUAUAAAUACACAUCCGGCCAGAAGCAACACAACCAAACACGGCUCCAACUCCAACUCCACUAGGACGAUCACGUAGACAAGUAGGAGACUAACUCAAAACUCACGCGGACAUGCAGCAUGUGUAGAAGUAGUGUGACACAUGUAAAAUCACAACACGCAUAUACGUGCACACCAAUCUAACUAGACUAUCCAAGUUUAGGGCUUCUUCAACACGGACCUUCAAACCGUCCACAUACGUCCAGAUCGUGCUGUCCGACCGUGGAAGCCAUCCAACAUGAACAUGUAUCGAUCUGCGGGACGGUUCAGACGCAUUUUCUCCUGCAAACUGAAGACAAACGUAGGGAGGGGGGCUUUGCCGGAGUCCGGUCCGCAAACAUGUAGGACUCCGACAGGCCCGGCCCACCCAAAAUCCUUCUCGGACCCCGUGCCUCCAUCCCUAACAUUUUCUCUCUGUCCUUGUUUCUCUCUUGCCUUCGUUGCCGCUCCGCCACCCCGACAGCCAUCUAUCGGAACUCUACAUCUCCGUCACCUCCAGCGUUUCAGCCGGGCUCCACCCCACUUUUCCUACGUCGCCGUUCAACCCAUCUCCUCCAACCGCCCCGGCAGUUACCAUCCGCUACUGCUGUACUCACCAUGCCUGACAACUGUUCGAUGAAUUACCGGAGCUAACAAGAAAGUUGUUCCUUCUUCUUCCAAGCAAUGGAUUCCGAUUUGGAGUACAUAUACGAGCUCUAUGUUGAGUCGUUCGAUGGCUCGUCCAACGAGGACGACUACACGGAUGAGACGGCGAUGAUGUAGGCGGCCCUUGAAGGCACGGAGCGUGCAGAGGAGCAUAUUCUAAAUUUUAAGGGAUCGAUCAGGGGUCAUCGAGUGCUCAAUUGCAAUAGGGCGUGCGGCCAUUUGACACUGAUGGCCGACUACUUUUCCCCCAAUGCACUCUUCUUUGACCAUUUUCGCCGGCGUUUUCAGAUGUGCAAGACUAUUUACGAUCGUUUGUACCAUGGCGUCCGGUCCUAUGAUAACUACUUCAUCCUAAAGAAGGACGUUAUGGGAACGAUUGUGUUCUCUGGUUGUGUUACCAGAAUGACUCCUUGGCUCCUUCACUCAUCUAACUCCCGCGGACGAUGCUCUUGACGACUUUCUGGCACCGCGCCUCGACACCACUGCUCCUGUCAACAAUCUAUUUCCACCAUCUUACCAAUGACUGCUCACUGCCUUCCUCCUUGCCGCUCCGCUGAACAACGAUCGCCUGAUCCCCCUCAUCGUUGCACCACCCAGCGACUAUAUCGCCCGCCUGAGGCGCUAGUAAAGGGUCGCCUCCCCGGGCAAGUGCAGCCUCAAAUCUUGAACGUUACUCUAAUACCAAUCAUUAGUGUCCUAGGCCUAGCUCCCAACCUCCGGCCUACGUUCGAGCAUUUUCGGUGUGCAUUGGACACACCAUGAUAAGCACAGAGCCCACCACAUUCCAAAAGCCUAGGCUAAAUAGGGAGUGACACUCUUUGUUAUAAGCUGGUCCUAGCCUCCAGUAAUCAAGGUGGGACUAAAGUCACUAGUAACGCCCAACGGCUAGUGGCCUAACAUCCCAUCCUCUGGGAAGCCCCCCGGAUGGGCAUGGCGCCCCUAACUCUGAUAGCAGUUGUUAGGAUUUCACCCUCAAGAUCGAUUACAUCAAAACUAAUAAAGACGCACGCACAAAGAACUUGUAGCCAAGUGCCUUUGUCUCUUUUCAACUUCUGGUGGUACAAACUCGCGGCCUUAUGCCCCUAUGUAUAAAUACACAUCCGGCCAGAAGCAACACAACCAAACACGGCUCCAACUCCAACUCCACUAGGACGAUCACGUAGACAAGUACGAGACUAACUCAAAACUCACGCGGACAUGCAGCAUGUGUAGAAGUAGUGUGACACAUGUAAAAUCACAACACGCAUAUACGUGCACACCAAUCUAACUAGACUGUCCAAGUUUAGGGCUUCUUCAAGACGGACCCUCAAACCGUCCACAUACAUCCAGAUCGUGCUGUCCGAUCGUGUAAGCCAUCCAACAUGCACAUGUAUCGAUCUGCGGGACGGUUCAGACGCAUUUUCUCCUGCAAACUGAAGACAAACGUAGGGAGGGGGGCUUUGCCGGAGUCCGGUCCGCAAACAUGUAGGACUCCGACAGGCCCGGCCCACCCAAAAUCCUUCUCGGACCCCGUGCCUCCAUCCUUAACAUUUUCUCUCUGUCCUUGUUUCUCUCUUGCCUUCGUUGCCGCUCCGCCACCCCGACAGCCAUCUAUCGGAACUCUACAUCUCCGUCACCUCCAGCGUUUCAGCCGGGCUCCACCCCACUUUUCCUACGUCGCCGUUCAACCCAUCUCCUCCAACCGCCCCGGCAGUUACCAUCCGCUACUGUUGUACUCACCAUGCCUGACAACUGUUCGAUGAAUUACCGGAGCUAACAAGAAAGUUGUUCCUUCUUCUUCCAAGCAAUGGAUUCCGAUUUGGAGUACAUAUACGAGCUCUAUGUUGAGUCGUUCGGUGGCUCGUCCAACGAGGACGACUACACGGAUGAGACGGUGAUGAUGUAGGCGGCCCUUGAAGGCACGGAGCGUGCAGAGGAGCAUAUUCUAAAUUUUAAGGGAUCGAUCAGGGGUCAUCGAGUGCUCAAUCGCAAUAGGGCGUGCGGUCAUUUGACACUGAUGGCCGACUACUUUUCCCCCAAUGCACUCUUCUCUGACCAUUUUCGCCGGCGUUUUCAGAUGCGCAAGACUAUUUACGAUCGUUUGUACCAUGGCGUCCGGUCCUACGAUGACUACUUCAUCCUAAAAAAGGACGUUAUGGGAACGAUUGUGUUCUCUGGUUGUGUUACCAAAAUGACUCCUUGGCUCCUUCACUCAUCUAACUCCCGCGGACGAUGCUCUUGACGACUUUCUGGCACCGCGCCUCGACACCACUGCUCCUGUCAACAAUCUAUUUCCACCAUCUUACCAAUGACUGCUCACUGCCUUCCUCCUUGCCGCUCCGCUGAACAACGAUCGCCUGAUCCCCCUCAUCGUUGCACCACCCAGCGACUAUAUCGCCCGCCUGAGGCGCUAGUAAAGGGUCGCCUCCCCGGGCAAGUGCAGCCUCAAAUCUUGAACGUUACUCUAGUACCAAUCAUUAGUGUCCUAGGCCUAGCUCCCAACCUCCGGCCUACGUUCGAGCAUUUUCGGUGUGCAUUGGACACACCAUGAUAAGCACAGAGCCCACCACAUUCCAAAAGCCUAGGCUAAAUAGGGAGUGACACUCUUUGUUAUAAGCUGGUCCUAGCCUCCAGUAAUCAAGGUGGGACUAAAGUCACUAGUAACGCCCAACGGCUAGUGGCCUAACAUCCCAUCCUCUGGGAAGCCCCCCGGGUGGGCAUGGCGCCCCUAACUCUGAUAGCAGUUGUUAGGAUUUCACCCUCAAGAUCGAUUACAUCAAAACUGAUAAAGACGCACGCACAAAGAACUUGUAGCCAAGUGCCUUUGUCUUUUUUCAACUUCUGGUGGUACAAACUCGCGGCCUUAUGCCCCUAUGUAUAAAUACACAUCCGGCCAGAAGCAACACAACCAAACACGGCUCCAACUCCAACUCCACUAGGACGAUCACGUAGACAAGUACGAGACUAACUCAAAAGUCACGCGGACAUGCAGCAUGUGUAGAAGUAGUGUGACACAUGUAAAAUCACAACACGCAUAUACGUGCACACCAGUCUAACUAGACUAUCCAAGUUUAGGGCUUCUUCAAGACGGACCCUCAAACCGUCCACAUACGUUCAGAUCGUGCUGUCCGACCGUGGAAGCCAUUCAACAUGAACAUGUAUCGAUCUGCGGGACGGUUCAGACGCAUUUUCUCCUGCAAACUGAAGACAAACGUAAGGAGGGGGGCUUUGCCGGAGUCCGGUCCGCAAACAUGUAGGACUCCGACAGGCCCGGCCCACCCAAAAUCCUUCUCGGACCCCGUGCCUCCAUCCUUAACAUUUUCUCUCUGUCCUUGUUUCUCUCUUGCCUUCGUUGCCGCUCCGCCACCCCGACAGCCAUCUAUCGGAACUCUACAUCUCCGUCACCUCCAGCGUUUCAGCCGGGCUCCACCCCACUUUUCCUACGUCACCGUUCAACCCAUCUCCUCCAACCGCCCCGGCAGUUACCAUCCGCUACUGCUGUACUCACCAUGCCUGACAACUGUUCGAUGAAUUACCGGAGCUAACAAGAAAGUUGUUCCUUCUUCUUCCAAGCAAUGGAUUCCGAUUUGGAGUACAUAUACGAGCUCUAUGUUGAGUCGUUCGAUGGCUCGUCCAACGAGGACGACUACACGGAUGAGACGGCGAUGAUGUAGGCGGCCCUUGAAGGCACGGAGCGUGCAGAGGAGCAUAUUCUAAAUUUUAAGGGAUCGAUCAGGGGUCAUCGAGUGCUCAAUCGCAAUAGGGCGUGCGGCCAUUUGACACUGAUGGCCGACUACUUUUCCCCCAAUGCACUCUUCUCUGACCAUUUUCGCCGGCGUUUUCAGAUGCGCAAGACUAUUUACGAUCGUUUGUACCAUGGCGUCCGGUCCUAUGAUGACUACUUCAUCCUAAAGAAGGACGUUAUGGGAACGAUUGUGUUCUCUGGUUACCAGAAGUGCACGGCCGCACUCCGAUGCUUGCAUGUGGCACAGACACUGAAUCGUGGGACGAGUACCUAUGGAUGUUUGAGAGCACAUGCGCAGAUGCCAUGGUCAGGUUUGCAACUGCCAUGGUCAAGGUGUUUGGACCUCAGUACCUGAGAGAACCAACUGUGGCAGACAUCGAGAUGCUCUUGGCAAUUUCAGAAGCAAGAGGAUGGCCAGGUUUGCUUGGAUCCAUUGACUGCAUGCAUUGGGAACGGAAGAACUGCUCGAAGGCUUUACAAGGGCAAUAUCAGGGUCAUGUGAAAAAGCUCACAAUCAUUCUUGAAGCAGUUGCAUCACAUGAUCUAUGAAUUUGGCAUGCUUUCUUUGGCAUGCCCGGGUCUCACAAUGACAUCAAUGUGUUGCAGCGAUCACCCUUGUUUGUGAGGUUGGUUGAAGGAAAAGCUCCUCGCUGCCACUAUACUGUUAAUGGAUAUGAGUACAACAUGGGCUACUAUCUGGUUGACGGUAUCUAUCCUCCAUGGGCUACCUUUGUCAGCACCGUCUGUAAUCUAGUUAGCCAGAAAAAAUCUCACUUUGCCCAAAGACAAGAAACAGCUAGAAAGGAUGUAGAGAGGGCAUUUGGAGUUCUGCAAGCCCUUUUUGCAGUUGUUCAUGGACCUGCUAAACAAUGGGAUCCGGUGACCUUGUGGGAGGUGAUCACUUGUUGUGUGGUCAUGCACAAUAUGAUCGUCGAGGAUGAGGGUGAGGAUGCCGCUGCAGUUAUAGAAUUUGAGAAUAUGGGUGAUCCUAUCGAACUUCCAGACCAUAAUCCAGCCACAUUUGAAGAGUUUAUUCAAAUGCAUCAACAAGUUCGGCAUCGACCAACUCACGAGCAGCUGAAGGAAAAUCUGAUUGAGCAUCAGUAGGCGGUUAAAGGGGACCAGUCCGGGUCUUUAAUCUAGAGUGGUUAUAUAUUAUUACCGCAAAGUAGUACUAUGUUGGUGGAUCUUUAAUUAAUUGAUUGACUAAUGUGAUGCAGCUACUUUACUGCAUUGCUUUGACUAUGGCUGGCUCCUCUGGUUUCACUGGAAAAGCAAGUUGUGGUUGGGACGCACAAGUGUGUUGCCGUUGCUAACUACUGGCUAGUCAUGGUGGGGAGUAACUUAGACUAGUCAGAGCAAGUAUAAAAGGAUGCUGUAGGCGGGUUAUAAGACUUUAAAUAUUAUAUUUUUGAUGAGUUGAAGGAGAUAGAAGAGAAACGAGCUACUGAUUAACAGCCGGCUGUAGCACGUGCUCCUAGACAUUAUGUGAGAGAGGAAGAUGGACCAUGUAUCAAUAAAAUAGUACAUAUUUAUAUGUAACUAUUGUACUUGCCGGCUAUAAACUAGACUACAGAUGAUGUGGCAAGAUCAUAUAGCCAACAACUCGCUAUACUAUUAACUAUGCUCUAACAUGCACAAGCACAAGACGCACCCCAUUGUCAUUUGCAACAGCCCUAAAAUAUUAAAAAGAAUAACGUACUAUGAGAUCAACUUAUUUGAUGUGGUCCCACCUUGCAUUUGAAUGUUGCACAACAUUUAACUAAUUCACUCGCCUACUACUCCUAGCCGCUGAAUUUUUCUUCUCUGCAUUGGAUAAGAAUUACCCCUUUUUUAGGACAGGUAAGAAUUAACUUUCCUGUGUAUUCUGCACAACAACAAAUCCUCUUCAAAUAGCAUGAAUAUGCUCCAAUAUUGUAGUACUAUCUGGAAUAAAGAGUAUGCCAUAUGAUACUGUUGGAAGCCUACAGUUGCUGGCUCAACUAGAGGACCGAGUCCCACGUAGUUCAUGCACCGGACGUGCCCUCCUUUUCUGUUACACGAUGUGCAUGGCCUCCUGUAUAGCUGGGUCGUUACCAGCCUCUGUACCUGUAUAUUAACCCCUUCGUGGGCAUCAAUGAGAAUCACCAGUGUAUUCAUUCUCCAUUUUGGUAAUCAGAGCUCUCUUUCCUGUCCCUGUCUCUCAUGGACACUGGCGACAGCUCCGGCGGCCUUUCGAGCGGCGACCUGACGGGCGCCAUCCCUCCCGCUCCCGCUCCGGUGCUCUCCUCUUCUGAACUCUCCACCCCCGUCCUCUCCGCUCCGCCAGCAACCGCCCCUAGCACCAUGAGCUUGGUGACCUUGCCGUCGCCUCCCACCCUCCCUGACAUAGCGUCGUCCUCUGCCACCACCACCCCCUCCAUCCACACCCUCAACAACAUCCACAACCUCAUCCCCUUCAAGCUGGAUGUCCAAACCGGCAGCUAUUCGAAGUGGCGUGAACUCUGGCGCUGCGUCCUCAUCAUGUACGCCGUCGAGAGCCAUGUCAACCACUACUCCGACCCACUGCUCCAAACUCCGGCGUGGCGCCACACCGAUCUGAUGCUCCUGCUUCUGCUCUACUCCACCAUCGUCGACGGCCUGUACGAGGUCAUCCGUGGCGCCGGCAACACCGCGCAUCGCGUCUGGAGCCAACUCCACGAGUUCUUCCUCGCCAACCAACCCGCCCAGGCCGUGCACCUCAACGCGGAAUUCCGCGCCCUCACCCAGGGGGAUCUCCGCAUCGCCGAGUACUGUGGGCGCCUCAAAGCGCUCGUGGACGCCCUGGCCGACGUCAACGAGCCCGUCACCGAUCGCACCCUGACGCUGCAGCUUCUCUGCGGCCUCUCUCGUCGGUACCAGGUGAUCGCCACUGUCAUCCCGAUGCAGACUCCAUUCCCAUCCUUCAACCAGGCCCGUUCCCGUCUUCUUCUGGAGGAAAUCACCUAGGACGCCCGUGAUCGCUCCGACGGAUCUACCGCUCUAGCCAUCAGCCACGGCGGCGGCGGCGGCCAUGGUGGCGGUGGCGGCGGCCACGGCGGCGGUGGAGGCGGCCCUGGCGGCGGGGGCUCUGGUGGCUCCUCCGGCCCACCUCCCUCCUCUAGCGACCGCGGCAAGGCUCCCAUGGAGCGCGGCAACAGCAGCGCCGGUGACCGUGGCCGCGGACACAACGGUGGACGCGGGCGUGGCCGCGAACGCGGGCGCGGCUACAACGGCGAACGCGGUUCGCCUGCUCUUCCUCCCGGCGGCCCCACUCCAUGGAUGGGCUACUUCGUGCCGUGGGGGAUGCCCUUCCAGCCGCCGCGCGCUCCCUGGGUUCCACCCAACGCAGCCGGGGUCCUCGGGCCUCGCCCCGGUGCUGCCCAGCACGCCUACCCCGCGCUGUACACCGGACCCGGCGUGCCCCCCCAACCCUCUUGGGAUCAGGUGGCGCUCUACUCCGCCAUGAACCAGAUGUCUCUCCAGUAGCCCGGCAGUGGCAACGGCGACUGGAUCUUUGAUUCCGGUGCCUCCUCCCACGUCACUGGUAAUGCAGGUAAUCUUGCCACUUCUCGUCCUGUCUCAAAACAGCAUGCUCCCAUCAUCGUUGGCGACGGCACUCGUCUGCCUGUAGUUGCCACCGGCACCGCCUCCAUCCCCACAUCCUCUCGCCCCUUGCUGCUUCAUAACGUUCUCGUAGCACCUGAUAUUGUUCAAAACCUACUCUCUGUCCGUCAACUAUCCACUGAUAAUAAUGUAUCCGUUGAGUUUGACCCCCUCGGCUUUUCUGUGAAGGAUCUAGCCACCCGGACCCCCCUCAUGAGGCGCACUAGUUUUGGGCCUCUCUACCACAGCGGCGCAUCCAGCUCUUCGGCGUUCUACACCAACUCCGGCGACCUGUGGCAUCGCCAUUUGGGGCACCCCGGCAGUGCCUCUCUUUCCCGUUUAGCACACCAUUUUCUUCCCGAUUGUAAUAAACUCCCUGCCGCCUCUGGAUCAUGUGAGGCGUGCCAAUUAGGGAAGCAGUCGCGUCUGCCUUUUUCUUCUUCUACCUCUGUUACUAGUUUUCCUUUUCAGCUUGUACACUGUGAUCUUUGGACGUCUCCUGUCCCUAGUUGCUCUGGCUACAAAUAUUACUUAAUAAUAAUGGAUGAUUUUUCCCACUUCGCAUGGACUUUUCCCCUCCGUGCCAAAUCCGAGGCCACUGACAUUCUCAAACGUUUCUUUCGCUUCGUACCCACACAAUUCCAUGUCUAUAUCCAGAGCGUCCAGUGCGAUAACGGCGGCGAGUUUCUUAACAUCUCUCUCCGCUCUUCUCUAGGUGAACAUGGCACUGCCCUACGCCUCUCCUGCCCGCACACAUCACCACAAAACGGGAAAGCUGAGCGCGCCAUUCGCUCCACAAAUGACAUACUUUGCACACUUCUUGUCCAAGCCAGCAUGCCCCCAAAAUUCUGGGUGGAAGCCCUUCAUACUGCCACAUACCUCCUCGAUAUAUGACCCUCCCGAGCCAUCAACCACAACACCCCAUACUUCAUGCUUUACGGUACUCACCCCAACUACGACCACAUUCGCACAUUUGGCUGUUUGUGCUACCCCAAUCUCUACGCCACCACUCCCCACAAACUUUCCGCACGCUCCACACCCUGCGUUCUCCUCGGCCUACCCCUCGAGCACAAAGGAUGUCGGUGCCUCGACAUCUCCACACGUAAAGUUAUCACCUCCCGACACGUGAUUUUCAACGAGCAUAUUUUUCCCUUCGCCACAGAAAAUCCCACUGCCCCCAGCCCCGUAUCCACCUCGGGAUCCCUCCCACCUACCUGGUCCGAUCCGACAGGAUCGUCCUCGGGAUUCCCCGCCCCAGUCGCCCCACCCCACGCACCCGAUCGCGUCGCUCCCAACCAAUCCGCCCGCUGCGCCCCCACCGCUGCGCCCACUCCCGCUGGCCCACCACUCACCGCCACCACUCUGGUCCCAACUCCCGAACCCCCCCAGUCGGCAGCUAGCUCGCCAUGCAGCCAAUCGCCUGCCCGCUCACCAUGCAGCCAAUCACCUACCCGCUCACCAUGCAGCCAAUCCGCGACAUCCUCGCCAUGCACGUCGCCCCGCGCUCUCGCCCCGCCUCUGGCUGCCUCCCCACCAACCUCCCCGCCUCCCCACCCUCUCCCUCCACGCGCGGUGCCCGUCCUACCACCCAAAAACAGCCACGCCAUGCGCACACGAGCCAAAGCCGGUUUCCUCCAACCAAAAUCCCUCUUCACUCUCGCAGCCACCAACGAUCGCAUCUCUCCUCUCCCUUCCUCCUACAAACACGCCCUCAAAGACCCAAACUGUUACAACGUGAUGCUUGAGGAGUAUACUGCUUUGUUACAAAAUGAGACUUGGUCGUUGGUUUCUCCCCCUGCAGGUGUCAACGUGGUGACGGGGAAAUGGAUCUUUCGCCACAAGCUGAACCCCGACGGCUCCCUCGCUCGGUACAAGGCGCGGUGGGUCCUGUGUGGCUUCACUCAACAACACGGCGUCGACUUCGAGAAGACCUUCAGCCCCGUCGUCAAGCCGGCGACCAUCCGUGUCGUCCUCAGCCUCGCCGUCUCCGCCGGCUGGGCCAUCCAUUAGCUGGAUGUGAAGAAUGCAUUUCUUCACGGCCACCUCGACAUCGUCGUCUACAGCCAGCAGCCGUCCGGGUUCGUCGACGCUGCGCACCCGUCUCACGUGUGCCGCCUGCAUCGCUCACUCUACGGGCUCAAGCAGGCCCCCCGGACAUGGUUUCAGCGCUUCACCACCUACCUUGCGCGUCUCGGCUUCGUUGCAUCCAAGAGUGACAACUCUCUCUUCAUUCUUCAUCGCGACGGCGCCACCGCUUAUCUCCUCUUAUACGUCAAUGACAUUAUCCUCACUGCCAGCUCCGCCUCCCUGCUCCACCAUGUCAUCUCCCAACUCCACCAUGAGUUUUCCAUGACUGACCUCGGCGAGCUCCAUCAUUUCCUGGGGAUCAAUGUCACACGCAGCUCCCGCGCCCGCAUGAGCAAUUGCAAGCCCAUCGCCACCCCCAUCGACACUCGCGCAAAACUUUCCGCCACCGAUGGUGCUCCUGUUUCUGACCCGUCCCUCUACCGCAGCUUGGUCGGCGCUCUACAAUAUCUCACUCUCACACGACCCGAUAUCACCUACGCUGUUCAACAGGUCUGCCUCUUCAUGCAUGAUCCCCGGGAGCCGCACUUCACCAUCCUCAAACGCAUCUUGCGCUACAUCCGCGGUACCCCGCAGCUCGGCCUUCACCUCCGGCGCUCCUCCGACCACCGCCUCGUCGCCUACUCUGAUGCCGACCGGGCGGGUUGUCCUGACACCCGCAAGUCCACGUCGGGCUACUGCAUCUUCAUCGGCGACAACCUCGUCUCUUGGUCCUCCAAGCAGCAACAGACCGUCUCCCGGUCCAGCGCGGAGGUGGAAUACAGGGCGGUGGCCAAUGCUGUGGCCGAGGCGUGCUGGCUGCGUCAACUUCUGCACGAGCUGCGGCGUCCUCCGGAUCGGGCAACGAUCGUCUACUGCGACAACGUGAGCGCCAUGUACCUCUCCACCAACCCUGUGCAGCAUCAGCGCACGAAACAUAUCGAGAUCGAUCUUCAUUUCGUGCGUAAGCGGGUUGCUUUUGGCGAUGUACGCGUCCUCCACGUCCCGUCUGCGUCGCAGUUCGCCGAUAUCUUCACGAAGGGGUUGCCAUCGACCGUCUUCCUCGACUUCCGGUCCAGCCUCAACGUGCUCGAGGACCCCGUUGUGGCUGCGGGGGGCUGUUGGAAGCCUACCGUUGCUGGCUCAACUAGAGGACCGAGUCCCACAUAGUUCAUGCACCGGACGUGCCCUCCUUUUCUGUUACACGAUGUGCAUGGCCUCCUGUAUAGUUGGGUCGUUACCAGCCUCUGUACCUGUAUAUUAACCCCUUCGUGGGCAUCAAUGAGAAUCACCAGUGUAUUCAUUCUCCAUCUCUACUAACAACAAGUCUAGGGCCGGGAGCCUCUUGAACACAACCCUACAUACCAGNNNNNNNNNNNNNNNNNNNNNNNNNNNNNNNNNNNNNNNNNNNNNNNNNNNNNNNNNNNNNNNNNNNNNNNNNNNNNNNNNNNNNNNNNNNNNNNNNNNNNNNNNNNNNNNNNNNNNNNNNNNNNNNNNNNNNNNNNNNNNNNNNNNNNNNNNNNNNNNNNNNNNNNNNNNNNNNNNNNNNNNNNNNNNNNNNNNNNNNNNNNNNNNNNNNNNNNNNNNNNNNNNNNNNNNNNNNNNNNNNNNNNNNNNNNNNNNNNNNNNNNNNNNNNNNNNNNNNNNNNNNNNNNNNNNNNNNNNNNNNNNNNNNNNNNNNNNNNNNNNNNNNNNNNNNNNNNNNNNNNNNNNNNNNNNNNNNNNNNNNNNNNNNNNNNNNNNNNNNNNNNNNNNNNNAAAAUAGUCAAAUAUUAUCCCUAUAACCCCCUCUAUUAAAUAGGCAACGUGAUUGGGGUUCAUUAGGACUUCCUCCAAUUUCUUAAUUGAUCGCUGCAUUAAUUUCCAUUGCUUUAUUGGGAGGGUCUGGACACUUUUUUGCUUUUAGAGAUGGGGGUCUGGACACUUGAUCAGAUAUCUAACACAUGCACCCAUUGGAAAGAUAUCUAAGCUAGAUACUCCCUCCAGUUCACAAAAGAUGGCGUUUUGGAGACUCCUAAGGUCUUUAAAUAUGUAACUUUGACCGGUCUUUUCUACUUAUCAUAUAUGUAUAACGAUAAAAUUAUCAGAAAAUACUUGUUGACACAAAUUUGUGCAUAUUGUUUUCCAAGUUUGCCAAGGGUGUUGAGAAGAGGCCAGACCCCCUACACUCAAUUUUGAAGAGACACUAAUUUGUUAGUUAUGUUUCUACAUUGAACAUACUUAUGAAUUAUUCGUCCACUCGAAACCGAAUAACAAUGCAUGAUUUCCUCUCUUUCCCCUCAUAUAGCCAAAUCCUGCCUCACCCCAGCAUAUCAAUCAAUUAAACAUGUGCAUAGCCUGGGCGUAGCCAUGUUUCGGGUUGAGAUUUGUAAUUCUGUCCAAAAAUGUCUAGCUCAGGCCCAAUUUAGCCUACACCAAAGCCAAGACAAAUACAUAUUUUGAAUUUAAAAUGUUAAAUAAAUCUAUUUUGGAUAGUAAUUAAGCAUUAUAUCUACUAGAAAACACACUGCUCUUGGGUUGUGGAUGCCCAGGUUUACAAUCAACUCGUUCAUUAGUCCCUCUGUUUCAUAUUACUUCACAUAUUAGUUUUAUCUUAGAUCAAACUUUGUGAAGUUUGAGCAAAUUAAUAGACAAAAUAUCAGUAUGGACCCGAGUGUAUUAUAUUAUAUUUUUCAUGGUUGAUGUUACAUACGUUAUCACCUACUAUAUCCCAGCCCAUGAUGUAGGUAGUAGUUAGACGGACAAAGUUAGGAGUUAGACUUCAAACCAUUGCAUGGUUCAUGAUAAUCGACAUGUUAAUUUGUCUCGUUCAACCCGCAAACACACUGGAGUCGAAACUGCUUCAUAGACGACACUUUGAUGGACGAUGCCAAGACGAUGGUUAAUCCAACGGGCAGGGGCUGCUUAGGCUUGGGCUUGAAUGGUUGGAUAUGCAUGUCGUUUGUGUUUCGUGUAGUAACCGUCGUGUGUGAAGCAGUGCUCCACUGGAGUACUACUACAGUAGCAGCAUGGACCGGUCAUAUUGAUUCAUUUCUAGACCGCGUCAAAGAUGAAUAAAAAUACAACUCUCCUGCUACGAUCUGGUCCCAGGUUGCAUUGAACUAGUCGCAGCUAACCUUGAAAAGGUUAACCAACCAAUUCUCCCCGCUUGUACCCCAGUCACUGAAUUAUCCUUCAAUGCAUUGGGUAAGAGGUUCUCUGUAAAUUUGUACUCCUGCAUAAUUUAUCCUUCCACUGUUCAUCACUAGGUACUUCUUGACCUACUGAGGAAAUUUUCAUACAAACAGGUCAAAAGAGAAAUAAAACGGUAUUCAAAUGGGUGGCACAAAUGCCACCAACCCAACACCGAGCAUACAUGAAACGUCACCUGUAACUAGAUACAACCGAGACUAGAGCCACACCACCUUGAGAAAUCACCGGACACCGAAGUAUCGAACACGCCGAGUCGUCUCUGAAGGGGGCGACUCGCCAUUGAGACCACCCCUCGCUUCGUGCCGUGGAGCAACGAUCCUGCCAUGAGAUAGCAAGGAUCAAGAACCGAUACCACGGGGACACGUGCACUUGUCCACCUACUUUGAUAGAUGGAUGAUUAGUCCUUGUAUUAUACAGCUCACCAAACAUCCCCCAUGAGGAAACAUGUUACUAUUUAAUUUUGCAUGUUCUUUGCUUCGUGUUGUUUGUCAAGGACACACUAGCUUAUGCAUUAUCCAAACAGUCAGGAAAUCGGUAUUGGUGAAUUUUUGUACUAUUCUGAUGCUCAUCAGUACUUGUUGACCUACCCCUUUCUGGUUUAUAGGGUUUAUCUCAAAAUUUUAGUUUUCCGUUUAUAAGACUCCUUUUAGUUGUUCUCCAUCACAUGUUCAAAUUCUAAGGUACAUUAAAUCAUUGCAUGCAAGUAUUAAGAGAAAAUUGACCAAUGCAUGUACUUUAUGCAUGCAUGCAUUGCAAGUAAGGCUAGUCAUAGUGGGAGUAACUUAGGUAGUAACAUAGCGCACUUUAAAAAAAAUUGCUUAUGUGGCAUGUAGUUAAUAAGGAGAGAAGUGCUUAGAGUAACAUAAUAUGUUACUGUAACAUAGCACUUCCCGAAAAAGGAUGAGUCUACAAGCUAAUAAAUGAAGACAUCUAUGACACUACUACUUUGUUACUUUGCACUAUGAAGGUAGUAACUUAGACUAGUGUCAUAUGUAUGACACUACUCCCUCCUUCCAUCUAUAUAGGGCCUAAUGUGUUUUUUAAGACCGCCUUUGACUAUUGACAAGAUUAAUAGUACAUGACAUGCACAAUGUGAAAAUUAUAUCAUUGAAAGCUCCUUUCACAUACGAAUUUAACGGUGUGCUUUGUGUAAGUUGCAUGUCAUAUAUUAUUGCUCUAAUAUUUGGUCAAAGUUAGCCUCAAAAAACGCAUUAGGCCCUAUAUAGAUGGAAAAAGGGAGUAGUAUAAGUUACUCUCCACUAUGACCAGCCUAAUGCAUUGUUAAACACAUUUUUUUUUAAAAACAAGCGCAUUAAUUGAGUGUUUUUGCAGUACAGAAAUUAUUUCACCACUCACGCAUUAAUUGAGUACUAGGCGACUCAAUUUGAACCAGGGCAAGCAAGCAAAAGUAGGUACGGUAGUAUUAAUCCUUGCAUUAUUAUUUAGCUGACCAAACACCUCCCAUCAGAAAAUAUAUUAUGUGCUUCUCAUUGGUUGUCAAGGACACGCUAGCUUUUCUGCAUUAUCCAGAAAAAGAUGAAAAUUAAUAAAUAACAUGUGUUGGUAAAUCUUCAGAGUGCCCCUACUCUUUUUUUCCUCCUAAUGUUCAGUACUACCUCCGUCUAGGUGAAUAAGUCAUUUGCGUAGUUCUAGGUCAUCGAUUUAAGCAAUUAAAUAUGUGUUAUAUGUCAUGAAAAGUAUAUCACUAGAUUUCUACACGAAUGUAGUUUCUAAAUAUAUAUUUUUUGUCGCAUAUAAUACAUAUUUAGAUAGUUAAAUCGUCAACCUAGAACUACGCGAAUGACUUAUUCACCGAGAUGGAGGUAGUACUUGUUGACCUACUGGAGCUGGACGACUCGCCUGAGAGUCUUACUUGUCCACACUUGUCUGGCCAAAAUCUCCAACUAAUCAGAAUAUAGGCUGAAAAAUCAUAAAUAAAAACCCAGUCCAACCUUAGUAAUAACCCAUGUUGGUGAAUCCAUAGUAUUUAUGAUAAAUAUAGGACCCCUUUUGCCUGGGGGAUGGUAUUUGCGAAUGUUUUUUAUGACAAAUCCUUCAUAGCACACACGGUAAUUUCUUUAGAAAAACAUGGCAAGCCUGUCAAACAAAAUGAUUUUGCUGUGAAGAUUGUUGCGUUCGCUUGAAGGAAUUGUCAUAUUGCUGCAAUAUAAAAUGCCACGAAAAACGUUCGUUCUGCCAUAUCUCCGUAAAUAUAUUAGCAGUACUGCAAAAAGUAGUACUAGAGUGUUGGUGGAACUUUAAUUAACUAACUAACUAGUGUGCUGUUCUAAAAAAAAAAAAAAACUAUGUGCUGCUGCUACUUUACUGCAUUACUUUGACUAUGGCGCUCACCUCCGGUUUCGCUGGAAAAGCAGGUUGUGGUUGGGAAGCACAAGCGUGUUGCCCUUGCUAAUUACGUGCACUCAAUAGCGAGCCAGCCACCCCUGUCCUGUGUGUAGCUCGUAGACUUAAAAAGUCCCUAGUCUCUAAAAAGUUUCUUUCUGUUUGUUUUCAGAGACUAAAAAAUCCCUAGUCCCUUCAUAAAGGUUAUUAAAUGACCAUCUUGCCCCUAGUAUAUAGAAAAAUAACAAUUAAACAACAUCAUGGGGUGGUGGGUCAAUGGGUGCAUGGAGGGACAUUGUUGGAAAAGUCUCAAAAAGUCUUAAAAAGACUCUUCUUGAGAGUCUUCUUCAUUUAGUCACAAAUGCCUAGUUUAGUCCCUAAAAAGUCCCUACCGUUUGGUAAAAAAGUUUUUAAGAGGGAUUUUUUUUAGUCCCUACACAAAAAAGUCCCUGAAAACAAACACCCACUACGCCACCCUCAACACCUUGCUGGCCGGCCCUGCGCGUGUAUAAGUAGUGGGUGCCGGAGCACACAAGCCUCACACACCAAGCACACGCCUCUCUUCCUCCUCCAUCUCUCAUUCCCUGGUCUCUGUCCUCUCCUCCCGAGCUUCACAGUUCACACACACACAAAACCAAGGCAAGAUGGUGGGCACGCUGGAUGAGGGGAAGAUCAUCGAGUACUUCAGGAACAAGAGCGUCCUCAUCACCGGAGCCACGGGCUUCCUUGGCAAGAGUAAGUAGGCAUGCUGAUGAUGAUCUAUGCAUGUCUUGCUAUUUUCUGAGGAACAGUUCAUGCAUCCAUCCUGAGAGUCCUUGGUGUUGCGUUGUGUGCUCAUUCGUCGACCUGUGCAGUAAUGGUGGAGAAGAUCCUGAGGGUCCAGCCGGACGUGAAGAGGAUCUACCUGCCGGUGCGGGCGGCCGACGCCGCGGCGGCGAGGCGCCGGGUGGAGACCGAGGUGCGUGCCUGUCUGCCCGUCCAUCAUGCCCCAUCAUCAUGUUGAUCCUUGCACCCCCUCCCUCAAUCUCUCUCUCAGUACUCCUCUCAAUACUCCUCUGUUCUAGAGAUUAGAGUAGUAGACAAGGAUACAUGCCGGUAGCAUGGUUCUUGGUAAGAUCAUGCUGCAAGGAACACAUGCGAGUUCUCUCUCAGACAGAGAAGCCCCCAAGCUGCUCCCCUGUGUCUCUUCAUUCUGUUUCAUACUUACAACUCUCUUUUUUUUCCAUUUAUAAUUAAUACUGUACUAUAAUACUAGUAACAUUAUGUGGCGCAUCGGAACAAAACAUGCAUAGAUAUCACAAAUUCAUCACAGAAUCAUAGAUAGUCCAGCUGCCCGCUGCUACUAUCUGUGAUGCAAACAUGAACAUGUGUAGAAUAAUUAUCUUAUAGGUAUAAACCGGGAUUAGAUAGGGCUAGGUGCACACUGCUGGGUGGCAUUCCUGCCGAACAUUCGGGUCGGUCACAUGCCAUUUUUUCUUCUCUUUCUGAGGUUGAGAGUCACAUGUCAUACUCUGCAUGAGAGGUGGCCAUGAAUAAUCUCAGCCGUACACCGCUCAUUCUUCUCUAGAUACUAGGUAAAUGCACAAAUAUUCUGCCAGCUUUUGGUAUGGCAGGAUUAAUUUGAACAAGAAACCAGACACUAGUAGGAGUAUGGUUGGCAAAAAUUUCAACAUUUUCAUUCAUGCCCGAUCUUGGAAACCGGAAACCUGGGGAAAACCCGCGGCCGGAUGAUAAAUAAACCGGCGGCGAAGUAGCGGAGCUGAGUGUAUUCCUAGGAGUCGUAUGAGGAGUUAUUGUGUGGGUAGGCCGGUAGGUUUGGUCAGGUCGACUCGACUCAGAAGUUUUCAAUGGCCUCUGCCGCAUGCAGUGCACAACUGGUACUGCACCACCACCUAGCUAGCCGGCCAGUGUGCAGCCUGCAUGCAUGCAUGGCUGGCUGGCUGGUGCUUGGAAAUGACGAGGGCAGGGCACCAUCUGGCACUGGCACCACUUACUACAGCUUCGUCAACUUGAGAAUUCAGAAUUCAGAGUGCACUGCAAGUCUGCAAUAAUGUUUUGGUUGCCUGAUUGCAUCAAAUUCUAACUAAACCUAGCAUGUUCAACAAUAAUAAACAUAAAUAAAUGCAAUAAUGUUUUGGUUACCUAAUUACGUUCUAUUAUUGCGUCUGCAAAAAAGAAAAGAGUGUAAUCUACUCUAGCUGGUGUAGUUAUUGAGUAGUGCCAAGAAGAUCCAGAGCAGAGACAAUGGGCAGUACGCUUGGUCCUCCACCUUACUCCUACUCCAUCUAGCAAGCCGGAAAAACACGCUUCCAGUACGCCUGGCCCCUCUUCAUUUCUUCAUAUGCAUUCACUGAUCCUUCAUUGUAUAGGUGUGGGCAAUUUACAGUUGCAGACAGUUGCACGGGUCGAUUGUCCUGCCCUGCAGAAGCAAUUUAUAGUUUUUACCAAAAGUUACCGAGAUACCAUGCGGGGUGGUGGAUCCACAGUGCAUGCAUGCAUGUAUCAAACACGGAUUGCAAAUGAAGAAUUAUUGAUCGAGAUCGACGUGGUUCGCAGGUGGUGGGGAAGGAGCUGUUCGGGAUGCUGCGGGAGCGGCACGGCGCCGGGUUCGAUGCCUUCGUCGCAGACAAGGUGGUGGGGCUGGCCGGCGACGUAAUGCGCGAGGGCUUCGGCGUUGACCCCGCCACGCUGCGGGAGCUCCGGCUCGCCGACGAGCUCAACGUCAUUGUCAACGGGGCCGCCACAACCAACUUCUACGAAAGGUACAGUGCUAUUUACUGUUUAACUCGUCAGAGAAAAAAAUUCAGCGGGAGAACGUGCAUUCCUGCAUCUUCUUCUCUGGAGUAGUGAGUUCAUCAAUGACCUCUGAAACUAACUGUGCAACGUACGUGCACGGACGUGUGUGUGCUCAGGUACGACGUGGCCCUGGACGUGAACGUGGUGGGGGUGAAGCACAUGUGCGACUUCGCCCGGAAAUGCCCCAACCUCGAGGUGCUCAUGCACGUCUCCACGGCCUACGUCGCCGGCGAGAAGCAGGGGCUGGUGUCGGAGAGGCCGUUCAGGGACGGCGAGACGCUGCGGGAGGAUGGCACCCGCCUUGACAUGGACGCCGAGCUGAGGCUCGCCAGGGAACUCAGGAAGCAGAUGGAGGCCGACGACGAUGUGGACCCCAAGGCCCAGAGGAAGGCCAUGAAGGACCUCGGCCUCACCAGGUUAGGAAGCAUAUUUCCCUUUGAAAGUUUCUCCUACUAUGUGAAAUUCAAGUUCAAUACCAGAGGUUUUUUUUUGUGAAACUUGGAACUGAAAUUCAGAAAUGGGAUUAAUUUUGGAAUUCUGGUGUGUGCAGGGCCCGGCACUUUGGGUGGCCCAACACGUACGUGUUCACCAAGUCCAUGGGGGAGAUGAUGCUGGCCCAGAUGAUGCGCGGGGACGACGUGCCGGUGGUCAUCGUCCGGCCCAGCAUCAUCACCAGCGUGCAAAACGACCCACUGCCAGGAUGGAUCGAAGGCACCAGGUUCGUUCUAACUCUUCCCAUCCAAAUUCAAAUGCCAAGUUUCAAAUUCAUAUUCUGACAUCGAAUAUGAAAACCCCAGGACGAUCGACGCGAUCCUGAUCGGGUACGCAAAACAGAGCCUGUCGUGCUUCCUCGCCGACCUCGACCUAACCAUGGACGUGGUAAUUGCUUCACUCACUGUUAGUUCAUUCAGCAAAUGCAGAGCUACCAGUGCUACCAUCUUCUUGCGAACGUGCUGCAGUAAUGAGUAAUAAGUAUACUAGUACAGUGUGUGACCAUGCUGCAGUAAGUUGCAUCUGAAGCGUCUGUGCCAACAAGGCCAAGUGGCUGCUGCAGUGCAUCAACCAACCUUAGCUGUACUUGGCUGCGUGCAGUUACUAUCUGAAUCUUGCCUGUUACAGCAAGGUUACAUAUGCUGCUAAUGGAUUAUCACAGUUUCUAACCCAAAUGCGCAACUAUGGUGUAUGCAGAUGCCCGGCGAUAUGGUGGUGAACGCGAUGAUGGCGGCCACGGUGGCGCACGCCUCCUCCACUCGGCCAUCAGAGCCAGAGAAGAAGCCGCCUCCGCAGCAGCAGCACCCUCACUCGGUGCCGGCAGCGCCAACGGUGUACCACGUGAGCUCGUCGCUGCGGCACCCAGCUCCGUACGCGGUGUUGUACCGGACAGGGAUCCGGUACUUCGAGGAGCACCCACGGGUGGGGCCUGACGGCCGCACCGUGCGCACCCGCAAGGUGCGGUUCCUUGGCAGCAUCGCGGCGUUCCACCUUUUCAUGGUGCUCAAGUACCGUGUUCCCCUCGAGCUCCUCCGCCUGCUUUCCAUCCUCUGUUGCGGCCUCUUCGGCCUUGCUGCCCUUUACCACGACCUCGCCCGCAAGUACAGGUAUUUUCUCUGUCUGGAAUUAGCUGACGCUCAAACGGAUGUAUCUACAGGGAGUGUAAUUUAAACAUGUUUGCAGUUGUAUGGUCUUGAUAUUAUACCAUUGGCUUAAGAACAUGCAUUGUGCAGGUUCGUGAUGCAGCUGGUGGACCUGUACGGGCCCUUCUCGCUCUUCAAGGGUUGUUUCGAUGAUGUCAACCUCAACAAGCUUAGGCUCGCCAUGGCCGACGGUGACCAUGCCGAUGCCACCGGCUGUCUAUUCAACUUUGACCCCAAGACCGUUGACUGGGACGACUACUUCUUCAAGGUCCACAUCCCUGGUGUCAUGAAGUACGUCCUCAAGUGAUGCACAUUUGCUCCGAUCUGCUUCCACAUACCUACCAAGAAAGAAUGGAGGAAAUCAAAUGAAUGCUAGUCUGUGUCCACCAUGUGUAAUCUCGUUCUUAAGUCUGCGGUAUUAUUGUAUGAGUAUUGAUUGUACUGCCAUUGGAAAUUUAACCAAUGACUAUGAGUAUAAGAUAAAAUUACUUGCAUUCUAGCCGGGGCCUCUGAAAUGACAAGGUUCCUAUGGAAUUAUGUUGGGAAUUUUCUACUUUUCACAGUACUACCAAAAAA